GUUGUAUGGUCAAGUAAUGAAGUGCACAUGGUGGAUGCCUUGGCAGUCAGAGGCGAUGAAAGACGUGAUAGCCUGCGAUAAGCGUCGGUGAGGUGGCAAUAUCCUGUGACCCGGCGAUUUCUGAAUGGGGAAACCCAGCCAACAUAAGUUGGCUAUCCUAACCUUUGGUUAGGAGGCGAACCGGGAGAAGUGAAACAUCUCAGUACCCCGAGGAAAAGACAUCAAUAGAGAUUCCCCAAGUAGCGGCGAGCGAACGGGGAGUAGCCGAUCAAACUUGUAGUAGCAAAAUGGCGUGGGAAAGCCAACCAUAGUAGGUGAUAGUCCUGUAUGCGAAACUGCAAAUGCGACAUAUUAAGUAGGGCGAGACACGUGAAAUCUUGUCUGAAGAUGGGGGGACCAUCCUCCAAGGCUAAAUACUCCUGACUGACCGAUAGUGAACCAGUACCGUGAGGGAAAGGCGAAAAGAACCCCUGUUAGGGGAGUGAAAUAGAACCUGAAACCGUGUGCAUACAAGCAGUCGGAGCCCACUUGUUGGGUGACGGCGUACCUUUUGUAUAAUGGGUCAGCGACUUAUAUUCUGUAGCAAGGUUAACCGUUUAGGGGAGCCGUAGGGAAACCGAGUCUUAAUAGGGCGAAUUAAGUUGCAGGGUAUAGACCCGAAACCGAGUGAUCUAUCCAUGAGCAGGUUGAAAGUGCCGUAACAGGCACCGGAGGACCGAACCCACUGUCGUUGAAAAGCCAGGGGAUGACUUGUGGAUAGGGGUGAAAGGCUAAUCAAACUCGGUGAUAGCUGGUUCUCCCCGAAAGCUAUUUAGGUAGCGCCUCGGACGAACACCAUUGGGGGUAGAGCACUGUUUCGGCUAGGGGGUCAUCCCGACUUACCAAACCGAUGCAAACUCCGAAUACCGAUGAGUGAUAUCCGGGAGACAGACGGCGGGUGCUAACGUCCGUCGUCAAGAGGGAAACAACCCAGACCGCCAGCUAAGGCCCCAAAUUCCUAGUUAAGUGGGAAACGAUGUGGGAAGGCACAGACAGCUAGGAUGUUGGCUUAGAAGCAGCCAUCAUUUAAAGAAAGCGUAAUAGCUCACUAGUCGAGUCGGCCUGCGCGGAAGAUGUAACGGGGCUCAAACUAGGAGCCGAAGCUGCGGAUUUAAUUGUUUCAAUUAAGUGGUAGGGGAGCGUUGUGUAAGCCUGUGAAGGUGUAUCGUAAGGUAUGCUGGAGGUAUCACAAGAGCGAAUGCUGACGUGAGUAACGACAAAACGGGUGAAAAGCCCGUUCGCCGGAAGACCAAGGGUUCCAGUCCAACGUUAAUCGGGGCUGGGUGAGUCGACCCCUAAGGCGAGGCCGAAAGGCGUAGUCGAUGGGAAAUCGGUUAAUAUUCCGAUACUUGUUUAUGAUGCGAUGGAGGGACGGAGAAGGUUAUGUCAGCCUGGCGUUGGUUGUCCAGGUGGAAGGAUGUAGGUAGGUUUAGUAGGCAAAUCCGCUAGACUAUUACUGAGAUCUGAUAGCAAGCCAGUUUACUGGCGAAGUGGCAAAUACCCUGCUUCCAGGAAAAGCUUCUAAGCGAUAGUCAUAAACAAAUCGUACCCGAAACCGACACAGGUGGUCAGGUAGAGAAUACCAAGGCGCUUGAGAGAACUCUGCUGAAGGAACUAGGCAAAAUGGUACCGUAACUUCGGGAGAAGGUACGCUGCCGAUGGUGAUUAAACUUGCUUUAUGAGCUGUUGGCAGUCGCAGAUACCAGGCUGCUGCAACUGUUUAUUAAAAACACAGCACUCUGCAAACACGAAAGUGGACGUAUAGGGUGUGAUGCCUGCCCGGUGCUGGAAGGUUAAUUGAUGGGGUUAGCGUAUGCGAAGCUCUUGAUCGAAGCCCCAGUAAACGGCGGCCGUAACUAUAACGGUCCUAAGGUAGCGAAAUUCCUUGUCGGGUAAGUUCCGACCUGCACGAAUGGCAUAAUGAUGGCAGCGCUGUCUCCAGCAGAGACUCAGUGAAAUCGAAAUCGCAGUGAAGAUGCUGUGUACCCGCGGCUAGACGGAAAGACCCCGUGAACCUUUACUACAGCUUUACAUUGAACUUUGACCUAACUUGUGUAGGAUAGGUGGGAGGCUUUGAAGUGGCGACGCCAGUUGCCAUGGAGCCAUCCUUGAAAUACCACCCUGGUUAUGUUGGGGUUCUAACUUGAGAUUAACAGAUCUAAGGACAAUGUAUGGUGGGUAGUUUGACUGGGGCGGUCUCCUCCUAAAGAGUAACGGAGGAGUACGAAGGUGCGCUCAGAACGGUCGGAAAUCGUUCAAAGAGUAUAAAGGCAAAAGCGCGCUUAACUGCGAGACCCACAAGUCGAGCAGGUACGAAAGUAGGUCUUAGUGAUCCGGUGGUUCUGUAUGGAAGGGCCAUCGCUCAACGGAUAAAAGGUACUCUGGGGAUAACAGGCUGAUACCGCCCAAGAGUUCAUAUCGACGGCGGUGUUUGGCACCUCGAUGUCGGCUCAUCUCAUCCUGGGGCUGAAGCAGGUCCCAAGGGUAUGGCUGUUCGCCAUUUAAAGAGGUACGCGAGCUGGGUUUAGAACGUCGUGAGACAGUUCGGUCCCUAUCUACCGUGGGCGUUGGAAAUUUGAGAGGAUCUGCUCCUAGUACGAGAGGACCAGAGUGGACGAACCUCUGGUGUUCCGGUUGUUUCGCCAGAAGCAUCGCCGGGUAGCUACGUUCGGAUGGGAUAACCGCUGAAAGCAUCUAAGCGGGAAGCCCACCUCAAGAUAAGAUUUCCCUAAAGAGCCGUUGUAGACUACGACGUUGAUAGGUUGGGUGUGGAAGCAUGGUGACAUGUGUAGCUAACCAAUACUAAUUGCUCGUUUGGCUUGACCAUACAACACCCAAG
rnacentral:rRNA from 1 species